ensembl:lncRNA
GGCAAGUCCGGGCAGCGGGCGCACGCAGGCGUGACGUCACUCGACGCGACGCGUAGCGUACCGGGUGACCGUCACGUGACCUGGCGAGGCGGCGGUACUGGGCUGAGGGAAUACCAUGGCCGUCCCUCUUUCCCCCACGCUGGUGCUGGGCGAGGCCUCGGAGAGCGACUCAGAGCCGGAGCCGGGGGGGAACACAGCCGGGACUCCCGCAGUGGGGCUGAAGGUUCCGGGGGAGGCGUCGGAGACCGAGGAGGAGGAGGAAGAGGACAGUGCGGCCCGGAUGCCGCUGCCAGGGGUGUCCAGGGGGGGCCCCUCACUGCUGCAGCAGCGGCUGGGGGCGGGCGAGGGGCGACUGCGGGGCGCAAUGGCUGAGGCACUGGGACGCAGUUUCAGUGGGGCUGCGCGGCUGCUGGAAGGUCUGGGGGGGCCCCUGGGCCACGCCCAAGCUGGGGCAGCUGCGACCGCGCACUGCCUGUGCCUGGUGCGCCGUGACCUGCGCGCUGUGGCUGCCACCGUAGCCACCAUCACCGCCUGUCACCUGCUGCCUGACAUCCGUGGGGAGCUGUGAGAGUGGGAAUGUCUGUGGGAGGGGGGGGGGGGGCAGUGCUGGCAGCUGUGGGGAGCUCCUGGCGUUGUUGUUGCAGUGUCACUGACACUGACCUUCAGCACUGUGUCCAAUGGACUCGAGGGUUGUGGUUGUCACUGAUGACAUUCUCAUUGUCACUGCAUUGCCAGUGCUGUGUCCCCUUGAGCUGAUGCUGCCAUCAACAGCACUGCCGCUGAUCGCUCAGUGUCCCAGCGAUGUCCCUGUGUCACCUGGCCUGUGGGGACCUUGGCCUCACAGUGACGUUGUCAGUGAAUGGAAGCUCCUGACGAUUGAUUGAUGCAGAAUUCUGUAGUUUUGCCCUGUAUAGGGGAUCUGUGGGUUCUGGCACUGACUAAAGCCCUUUGGAGACAUAGCUGCAGCAAGGACACAGCUUUCACUAGGUGGGUGGCAGUGUGUUCACCCACGGCACUGUGGUCCCAGUGGUCUGAGCAAGGUCCCUUUUGUUGCCCCCCAUGUCCUUGGGCUGUGGUUGUGUCCUGUGCGUCCCUUCCUGCCAUAUGAAUGUCUCCAGCAUCUGGCCACUGUCCCCAAGCUGUGGCUAUGUCCUGUCACCCUAAGUGCCCCUUGGCCUUGUCCUUAGCUCUCUCCUACCUCUGUGUACCCCUCUGAGAACUUCAGCCAGGGACAGGGAGAAGUACAUACGAAUCUCACACCACGGAGCCACAUGGGUCUGUCACGCUGCAUCCUGCCUGGGCUGUCACGUCCUGUGGGACACCAGGGGAUACACCCUGGGUGCUAGUGGGCUUGUGGCACCAAAAUGCCCGGGGCCUGAUGAGGGUCCUGGGGGCUCCUGGCGUCUCCAGAAGGGUCCCAACUGUCCCCAGGGACUGACCUGAGGGGUAGUGGAAAACCAGGAUGAAGGUUCACUUUCCCCAUUCCCCUGUGUUGUGGCAAAGGGGAAAGGUUUUGUGAAGAGCACAGUGGUGUUGGAUUCUGUUCAUAAAGAUUCUAGACCUCAGUUCCCUUCCCGUAUCCAAAUUAGAAUGAAAGAUAGUAUUAACAAUUCAUCUUUUGAGGAAGAACCUCUGAGCACUUGUAACUGGCAGUGCUUUGAUAUUCUAGGUAACCUGUUCCAUAAGGAGUGCUGGGUGAUGCUGGCUGAUACUGUCAAUUGUGAGCAUGCUCCACAGAAAGUUUCCCUCUGUGGGAGUGAGGAAACAAAAUGUGGUGAUUCAGUACUGUGGGGUUAUUAUGGGGUUACUAGAGUCUAGGAUUCUAGAGUCUGAGGAUUCUAUGAAUUGAUUAUUGGAGGAUUCUAUGAGGAUGCUAUGAGGAUACCAGCUCCUGUGAUUAUAAGUUCUGUUAUUUCAGAUUCUGUGAUCGUUUCAUGAUUCUAGAUUCCUUGACUCUGUGAUGAUUCUGGGCUUCAGUUGUGUGGUGAUUCUGAUUCCUCACUAAGAGUAUAGAUUCCCAGACUUGUAGCUACGCAAUACGAUGCGUUUCCAUCUCCACUCCUGUGCAUAGUGUGUGGCAUAGUUCUGAGUGCCUGACACAGCCCAAGCAAAAUCAAUUUCUGUAGGUUAUUACUAAAUAAAUAAAUAAAUCAAUAAAUUUCUUGCUUUAGUUUCUGCUCCCUGAUCCAUUUAUUUAUGUUCUCCCUUGCUUCAUAUGUAACUUCCAAACUUGGCAUUUUGCAGAUAGUACCUUUUCCCCCUUUCGUCCUUUGGUGGCCCCUAAUGGUCUCUUCUUUCUCAGUUAGAACAGUUGUCAUGAGCCUAUUCAUAUAGGAAUUUGGGACUGGAGUUCACUCCGUGACUCUUAUCAUAGUUGAUGUCCCUAGUUGCUAUCGUGCAGACUUCACCAAUUUAUAACAGAUGGAUACAGCUACGAUAUACACUCCUAAGAGGGAAGCAGGAAUGUAUAUUUAUUGAUGUAAUGUAGAUAUGCUGUAGUGAUAUGACAGUGACUUAACAAGACUGGAGAUGGCUGGAUACACUUGGUUAUUUUCCACAUAGAGGGCAGGAUUAAACACACACCUACAGGACGCUCUCCUGCUGUGUCAUGAGGAUCAGAGCAGACCCCGUUGCUGUCUGAACUCUUCAAACCACAGAGGUAAGGAUCCUCAGCACAGCUGGAUCCACUCCUUGUCCCAGACGCGUUCAAGAGUUUGUGUCUAAGGGAUCCUAUGUGCACAAUCAAAGAUAUAACCGUAGUGGAGCUAACAAAGCCCACCCAAACUACUAGUCACUUACUGAGGAUCCGUAUCAACAAGGUGUCUUGACAUCAAGGUGGAAAGGAUCUCUGUGCAGGUGUAACCUCAAGAGGCAUGCCUGCUCAAGGGGAGAGCUGUUCCUCUGUGCAGGAGAGCUCAAGAGGUGCUUGUGCUGCUGUCUAUUUUGGUGGUAAGAUGAUUGACUCAUUGCCGUACUUUAUUUUUAGGCAUAUGCUCAAUUGGCCCUCAGAUGUUGAGCCAGAGGCCUGCUGUCAGUUCUUUCAGCCUCCCAGCUUGAGGCAGUUUUGUGAUCUUUAGUCUGGUUUAGCUAGGAGUGUUGCUCACUGUCUUCCUGUGCAAGGCUGAGGGAGGAAGGUGGGAGAAAGGAAGAAAGGGGGAGGGGGGAGCACACCAUCACACUGGCUUUGCUGGGAAGGAAGGCUGGUAAGAGCAGGUCUGCUGGUCUGAGUCCCAGCCUGCUUUUACCCCCAGGAAAUGCCCUGCAGGUGGGCUGGCGAGGGUGGGGGUUGGGCAGGAAUUGCUGCAUUUCCUCCCACAUCUCCUGCCAUUUCUCUUGUCCCAGCAGGCUCCAGUUUAACAUCUGCCUGCAGCCUGCAGCAGAGCAGCACAUGGC